GGGCACUGACCCGUAAGAACACGAAUAUCACACCUUGUUGGCAGAAAAGAAAUUUCUUACAUUGGAUGUGUUGUCAAUGUUUUUAUUAACUUUCAUCAACCAAAGGAAGACGAUAUAUCUAUAAGGAGCAUUCAUCAAUGCAUCAACCUCUUAAUAUAAGCAAAAUCUAUGACAAAUAUUGGUGAAAUAUUUCUUCUGCACAAUGGAAUUUACCAGCAACAUCUUUUCAUCUCUGCUGUCUGGAAUGAUGACUUUACAGGUUAAUUAACCUUGGAUAACAUUACAAAGGAGUUGAGAGUUUACAUCUGCUGUUUUAGAUAAUAAGCAAGAUCUGCAAUGAAAGAAACAUAGCAUUAAAUUAUUCUCUGAAAAUAGUGACUUACCUGAACACAAACAUAUUCAUAGAAAAGAAAAAAACAAUAUCUUUGUGAUAUAUAUGACAAAUUAUUUCUCCAUUAUGAAUCAUUUACCUAAAUCAAAAAACCCUGAUACAAGAGAGAAGCCAUAUCACUGUGAUAUCUGUGGUAAAUCAUUCUCUCAAAGGAGCGACUUGACUAGACACAGACGUACUCAUACAGGAGAGAAGCCAUAUCAGUGUGAUAUCUGUGGCAAAUC